rnacentral:rRNA from 1 species
UGAGUUCUCCCUGAGACUUWRRGUCUCCUGAAGGAACGUUGAAGACGACGACGUUGAUAGGCCGGGUGUGUAAGCGCAGCGAUGCGUUGAGCUAACCGGUACUAAUGAACCGUGAGGCUUAACCUU